AUUGAACGCUGGCGGCAUGCCUUACACAUGCAAGUCGAACGGCAGCAUGAUCUAGCUUGCUAGAUUGAUGGCGAGUGGCGAACGUGUGAGUAAUACAUCGGAACGUGCCCUGUAGUGGGGGAUAACUAGUCGAAAGAUUAGCUAAUACCGCAUACGACCUGAGGGUGAAAGUGGGGGACCGCAAGGCCUCAUGCUAUAGGAGCGGCCGAUGUCUGAUUAGCUAGUUGGUGAGGUAAAGGCUCACCAAGGCGACGAUCAGUAGCUGGUCUGAGAGGACGAUCAGCCACACUGGGACUGAGAAACGGCCCAGACUCCUACGGGAGGCAGCAGUGGGGAAUUUUGGACAAUGGGCGAAAGCCUGAUCCAGCAAUGCCGCGUGUGUGAAGAAGGCCUUCGGGUUGUAAAGCACUUUUGUCCGGAAAGAAAUGGCUCUGGUUAAUACCUGGGGUCGAUGACGGUACCGGAAGAAUAAGGACCGGCUAACUACGUG
rnacentral:rRNA from 1 species